GAUUUCGUGUUUCUUCGGGUUUCGCCUAUGAAGGUCGUUGUGCGUUUCGGUGUUAAGGGGAAAGCACCGAGGUAUGUUGGUCCGUAUGAAAUCAUUGAGCGCAUUGGAGCAGUGGCGUACAAGUUAGCAUUGCCACCAGAUAUGUCGUUGGUUCACCCAGUGUUUCACAUUUCCAUGUUGAGGAAGUGUAUUUCUGAUCCUUCUCACGUGAUAGUACCGCAGAGUGUUGAGAUUGACCAUGAGUUAUCUUACGAGGAGCAGCCUGUAGAGAUUGUUGAUACACAGGUUCGUAAGUUACGGAACAAGGAGAUUCUGAUGGUCAAGGUUCUUUGGCGGAACCAUUCUGUUGAGGAGUGCACGUGGGAGACCGAGUUGGAUAUGCGGAAUGACUAUCCUUUUUUUUUCCUUGAGGUACGAAAAUUAAUUGUUGUGUGAAAUUUUUGUAAGAUUUAUUUGUGUUUGUGUUAUCUUAAGUGCAAUGUGUUUAUUGUGUUAAAUUCGAGGACGAAUUUUUAAUAAUUUCGGGAGAAUGUAAUAUCCCGUAAAAUUUUCCGAUAACAUUUUAAUAGUUUACGUAAAUUAGACUCGUUUUGUGAUUGGAUUCGAAAAUGGGUUAAUUUUAAUCCGGGUUUAAAAACGGAUAAAUUAAAGUCCGGGUUUUGAAAAUAUUUAUUUAAAAAAAAAAAGGUUCGGGUUGAGUUUCGGUCCAACCAGAAUUGGUUGGACCAGGUCUCGUUGAACCGAGACCCGGUCUCGUACGAGACCCGUUCUUUGUUAGCAGGUCUCGUACGAGACCUGCUAACGGGAAUCAAGGGGGCAGUUUUGCCCCCUGAUUUCUCGGAAUUCCUUGCGUUUUAAAACCCGUUUUCUAAAUCAAAAAUCUUCACCACUCUACGCACAAACCCUAGCCGCUUUCCUCUCUCGUUUUCAUUGAGAAUCCAUCUCUCAAUCAUCACUCAAACUCACACUGUCAUCGGUAAGUUUUUAGUUUUAAAUUUCAGUUUUGUUAAAAAACGACAUCUCCGUUCAUUACUGAUUGCUCUCUCGUUUCUGAACCGAAAUAGGUUCCGAUUUCUUCCAGAGAUAGAAGACUCGUGUAUCUACAAAUCCCAAUUUUUGUUUCGUCAAACGCCGUUCGGAGGUCGAAAUCAAUUCCGUUUGUUUCCCGUGAAAGUAGACUCACGCAUCUACGUUUCUACACCUUUCGUUCGUCAAACGACCCGUCGACUGCUCGUGCUUCGGAGUCUACGCAGGGUUAGCUGUUUGCCAAGAUCACGUGGAUAAGCAAGCAGUUUAUGAUUUGAAAGCUGGUCCACUCCGAUUCUUUUGAUUCCUCGGAGGUUUUUAUGUUAUUAAACUAGUUUCUGUUUUCGAACUCUUAGACCGCAGUAGAACUAGUUUAUUUAUUUCAUUUGAUAUUACACUUUGGAAUUGUCGAUAUAUUCGAUUAUUUAUAUUUGGCAUGAUUACUCUGGAUGACGACAUUGUUAUAUUUAAGGCAUGCAGUGGAAUAUUUAAGAUAUUUAAGUUAUUUAUAUUAGAACUGUAAUAUAAAUUGCUAGACCUAGGUUGGAGUCUCGGUUGCCCCCGAGCAGUUUUCUGCAGGUUUAAAUGCUUAAUUGAUUUCCGCAAGGCUUGCUACGGGUUUUGGUACAACCAUACCCA